rnacentral:rRNA from 1 species
GACGAACGCUGGCGGCGUGCUUAACACAUGCAAGUCGAACGGAAAGGCCCUGCUUUUGUGGGGUGCUCGAGUGGCGAACGGGUGAGUAACACGUGAGUAACCUGCCCUUGACUUUGGGAUAACUUCAGGAAACUGGGGCUAAUACCGGAUAGGAGCUCCUGCUGCAUGGUGGGGGUUGGAAAGUUUCGGCGGUUGGGGAUGGACUCGCGGCUUAUCAGCUUGUUGGUGGGGUAGUGGCUUACCAAGGCUUUGACGGGUAGCCGGCCUGAGAGGGUGACCGGCCACAUUGGGACUGAGAUACGGCCCAGACUCCUACGGGAGGCAGCAGUGGGGAAUAUUGCACAAUGGGCGGAAGCCUGAUGCAGCAACGCCGCGUGCGGGAUGACGGCCUUCGGGUUGUAAACCGCUUUCGCCUGUGACGAAGCGUGAGUGACGGUAAUGGGUAAAGAAGCACCGGCUAACUACGUGCCAGCAGCCGCGGUGAUACGUAGGGUGCGAGCGUUGUCCGGAUUUAUUGGGCGUAAAGGGCUCGUAGGUGGUUGAUCGCGUCGGAAGUGUAAUCUUGGGGCUUAACCCUGAGCGUGCUUUCGAUACGGGUUGACUUGAGGAAGGUAGGGGAGAAUGGAAUUCCUGGUGGAGCGGUGGAAUGCGCAGAUAUCAGGAGGAACACCAGUGGCGAAGGCGGUUCUCUGGGCCUUUCCUGACGCUGAGGAGCGAAAGCGUGGGGAGCGAACAGGCUUAGAUACCCUGGUAGUCCACGCUGUAAACGGUGGGUACUAGGUGUGGGGUCCAUUCCACGGGUUCCGUGCCGUAGCUAACGCUUUAAGUACCCCGCCUGGGGAGUACGGCCGCAAGGCUAAAACUCAAAGGAAUUGACGGGGCCCCGCACAAGCGGCGGAGCAUGCGGAUUAAUUCGAUGCAACGCGUAGAACCUUACCUGGGUUUGACAUGGAUCGGGAGCGCUCAGAGAUGGGUGUGCCUCUUUUGGGGUCGGUUCACAGGUGGUGCAUGGCUGUCGUCAGCUCGUGCCGUGAGAUGUUGGGUUAAGUCCCGCAACGAGCGCAACCCUUGUUCACUGUUGCCAGCACGUUAUGGUGGGGACUCAGUGGAGACCGCCGGGGUCAACUCGGAGGAAGGUGGGGAUGACGUCAAGUCAUCAUGCCCCUUAUGUCCAGGGCUUCACGCAUGCUACAAUGGCUGGUACAGAGAGUGGCGAGCCUGUGAGGGUGAGCGAAUCUCGGAAAGCCGGUCUCAGUUCGGAUUGGGGUCAGCAACUCGACCUCAUGAAGUCGGAGUCGCUAGUAAUCGCAGAUCAGCAACGCUGCGGUGAAUACGUUCCCGGGUCU